rnacentral:rRNA from 1 species
AGAGUUUGAUCCUGGCUCAGAACGAACGCUAGCGGCAGGCUUAACACAUGCAAGUCGAACGCGACCUUCGGGUCGAGUGGCGCACGGGUGAGUAACGCGUAGGAACCUGUCCUGUGGUUCGGAAUAACACCGGGAAACUGGUGCUAAUACCGGAUGUCCCCUGAGGGGGAAAGAUUUAUCGCCAUAGGAGGGGCCUGCGU